UACAGAGGGUGCAAGCGUUAAUCGGAAUUACUGGGCGUAAAGCGCGCGUAGGUGGUUCAGUAAGAUGGGUGUGAAAUCCCCGGGCUUAACCUGGGAACUGCUUUCAUAACUGCUGAGCUAGAGUACGGUAGAGGGUAGUGGAAUUUCCUGUGUAGCGGUGAAAUGCGUAGAUAUAGGAAGGAACACCAGUGGCGAAGGCGACUACCUGGACUGAUACUGACACUGAGGUGCGAAAGCGUGGGGAGCAAACAGG
rnacentral:rRNA from 1 species